rnacentral:rRNA from 1 species
GAUGAACGCUGGCGGCGUGCCUAAUACAUGCAAGUCGAGCGAACAGACGAGGAGCUUGCUCCUCUGACGUUAGCGGCGGACGGGUGAGUAACACGUGGAUAACCUACCUAUAAGACUGGGAUAACUUCGGGAAACCGGAGCUAAUACCGGAUAAUAUAUUGAACCGCAUGGUUCAAUAGUGAAAGACGGUUUUGCUGUCACUUAUAGAUGGAUCCGCGCCGCAUUAGCUAGUUGGUAAGGUAACGGCUUACCAAGGCGACGAUGCGUAGCCGACCUGAGAGGGUGAUCGGCCACACUGGAACUGAGACACGGUCCAGACUCCUACGGGAGGCAGCAGUAGGGAAUCUUCCGCAAUGGGCGAGAGCCUGACGGAGCAACGCCGCGUGAGUGAUGAAGGUCUUCGGAUCGUAAAACUCUGUUAUUAGGGAAGAACAAAUGUGUAAGUAACUAUGCACGUCUUGACGGUACCUAAACAGAAAGCCACGGCUAACUACGUG